UUUAAUAUGGCAGAUAAAUGCAAUGGAUUUAAACUCCAUAUAUAAAGAUAUUUAUUCUUUUAUUAAAA
rnacentral:tRNA from 1 species